rnacentral:rRNA from 1 species
UGCAAGUCGAGCGAGCUUGCCUAGAUGAUUUUAGUGCUUGCACUAAAUGAAACUAGAUACAAGCGAGCGGCGGACGGGUGAGUAACACGUGGGUAACCUGCCCAAGAGACUGGGAUAACACCUGGAAACAGAUGCUAAUACCGGAUAACAACACUAGACGCAUGUCUAGAGUUUGAAAGAUGGUUCUGCUAUCACUCUUGGAUGGACCUGCGGUGCAUUAGCUAGUUGGUAAGGUAACGGCUUACCAAGGCAAUGAUGCAUAGCCGAGUUGAGAGACUGAUCGGCCACAUUGGGACUGAGACACGGCCCAAACUCCUACGGGAGGCAGCAGUAGGGAAUCUUCCACAAUGGACGAAAGUCUGAUGGAGCAACGCCGCGUGAGUGAAGAAGGGUUUCGGCUCGUAAAGCUCUGUUGGUAGUGAAGAAAGAUAGAGGUAGUAACUGGCCUUUAUUUGACGGUAAUUACCUAGAAAGUCACGGCUAACUACGUG